GUGCUUGUUUCAGGAGCACAUAUACCAAAAUUGAAAUGAUACAGAGAAGAUUAGGAUGGCCCCUGUGCAAGGAUGACAUGCAAAUUUGUGAAGUGUUCCAUAUAUUU
ensembl:snRNA U6 U6 spliceosomal RNA